GGAUGGCUCUAACUUACCUGGCGAGAAGUAUGAAGGCGAUAAGGACCAAAUGGAAGUCGUCGAUGAAAACGAGCCUACCAAUCGGUCUACCCCAGCCCCUGUAGUGGAAGAAGAUGUCCAUUCCAAUGUUGCUCACCAAGCUAAUCCAUUGGGCCAACAUGUCCCGGUUGCAUCUCCAAUCCCUGAUGAUGAUUGCCCGG